UAAUUUAUUCUGUGGCGAUUUUUGAGUUAUACUGCGAGGGUUCCCCACAUAUUUUUUUGUUAUUACUAAAAUAUUUAAUUGCCUUAUUUUUUUGAUCUUUUCACACCAAAAAAUAACGCGACAAAUUCUCCCUUUUUUCAUUUUAGUAAAUUUCUACCUCUUAUGAUUUCAAUUUCCAGGUUUUCUCAUUUCACUGUGGCUAAGCGGUACUCUUCUCUCAACUCAAUAUCAUGAAAUUGAGCAAAGCAAGCUAAAGGGAAAGCCUCUCUCUAUAUUCUUGUCAAACCUCAAUAACUAAAAGAUCCUUGACGAGGCACGCAUUGUCAUCUUCUUACUAAAUUCAAUUUCAGAUUGCGAUAUUAUAGUCCAUAUCUGACUUGUAAUUUUUGUUAACUCUUGUUAAUAUUCACUGAAAUUUGGUUUUAUUACUCUUCUUAUUCUUUAUUGUUCCUUAAAAAGUCUUGUCUUUUCUUUUUCUUAUUCUCAAUUGACUAACAUUUACCAUUAUUGUGAUUUUUGAUCUUGAACUAUUGAGAUUGAAAAGAGGAUAAUGGAUAGUGGUUGUUCGAGAUCAAUACUCUCUUUGACUCGGUAGUUAAUGAUCACAUUUUAUUUUUUCAUUAACUGGUCUAUUGCAGCUCACUUUGAAAAAAACGUACAUCCGAAUUGAGUGAAGGAAUUUAUUUGAGAAUGUGUAUUACUGAUGACCAUGUAUGUAAAUCACAUGUCAUGUAUUUAUUUAAUAGGUGUAGCAUUGGAGGUAUAGGUAAGUUUGUUCUGUUAACUAUUACGAUUAGUGAUUUAAAUUUCUUUUUAUCAAGGGUAUGGGUGUAGGCAAGUUGUUCUGUUAACUAGUCUUAACUAGUCUCUGGAUGCUAUCAACUAAGAAAACAGGUUAUUUUCUUAUGACUGUGCAGUCAUGCCAAAGAUCAAACAUUUUAAAAAUUCAUUAAAAUCAACUCUUGCAUCACAUGAUGCUAAUGGACAUUCUUCAUCAUCAAUAAGUCCAUCUCAACCUUCUAUUGGGCCUUCAACAUCAGUACAAUCUCCUCCACAAGAUGGAUCAAUCCCUCGCGAGUUGAUGAAGUUCAACAAGUACAAACUCCAAAUUCAACCUUCUAAUUCAAGCGCAAUAUCUGAAUUUAUACCACAUUUAUAGUACAGACAAUUGACUCAAAAAAGAAUAUCAAGAGUAUUAAGCUGAAGAUAGUCGAUGUCAAUCACCUAUCUCUAGGAGAACGCAUAAUUAUGGACUUCAAUGAAUAUGGUGCAGCAAUUGGGGCAGCGCAAAGGUUGCUUGCAGGAUAUUGUGGAACUUUGACAACUGAUUGCAAUUUAUUCCCUAUUAGUUUUGACAAGUGGUUAGGGCAAGUAGGCAUUCCUAAAAAUUACAAAGAAGACUGCUUCGAGACAAUUUUAAAGCCUCGAUUUUUUUAGGAUUACUGAAGCCAUUGCAUACAGAUCUUGUACUUCUAGCAUUGGGAAGAAGUGGGCUACGCAUAGACUAAGGAUGUAUGAUGAAUUUGAUGAUCUAGCCAAAAGUAUUAAUGAAUUGUUAAAUAAUGUGCCAAAGGGUAUAAACAAAGAUCAGUGGGCUAGUUAUAUUGCUUAUUGUAAAAGAUCAUCAACAAUUGCGCUUUGCAAAAGAAAUAAAAAAAUUUAAAGCAAGCAAAAAAAUCCACACACCGAUGGCUCAAAAUCAUUGGCAAGAAGACGACAUGAGAUAUUUUUGGCAACAGGAGUAAAACCUAUUCGGGGACAAAUGUUUUUCGAAACUCAUAAAAGGAAAGGCGAAUCAUUUGUAAAUGAAGAGGCAAGAAUUAUAGGGGUCUCUCAUUUAGAGUACCAAUUAGAAGGAGCUUUGAACGCUUUGAAGACUUAGAUGAUAUCAAAGGAAGGAAGUGUUCCUGAUGAAUUGAUUGACUUGUUUGCUCCUCAACCACAGGUAAGAAGUAAGUGUACAUCUAAGUAGUUGAUUAUUAAUGAAUUUUUCAUCAAAUAUUUUUUUCUUCAUUUCAGCCGAAUGAUAUUGAGAGCAAGCCUACUUCACCAGUGGAUAUAAGCGGAUCAGCGAGUGGCAACGACACUAAUCGUCUACAAAGUACUUAGUUUUUAUGUUGUUUAAAUUAUGGAAUCACUUUUGUGGAUUUAUAUUACUCUACUGUUUUACAAAUAAUGAGUUAAACUUUGGAAUGUGGUAUUUGAAUUUAUGUGAACUGUAGUUUAGGAUAUUUUAUAUGAAUUUAAGUUAAUUGUA